GUGCUUGCUUUGGCAGCACAUAUACUGAAAUUGGGAAGGAUACAGAUUAGCAUGGUCUCUGCGCAAGGAUGAUACAUAGAUUUGUGAAACAUUCCAUAUUACA
ensembl:snRNA U6 U6 spliceosomal RNA